rnacentral:snoRNA from 1 species
GUGAUGACACCCCAAUGGUCAGAACAUGAAGACACUCGCAUGGGCUGA